rnacentral:rRNA from 1 species
CUCCAAGGCUAAAUACUCCUGACUGACCGAUAGUGAACCAGUACCGUGAGGGAAAGGCGAAAAGAACCCCGGCGAGGGGAGUGAAAAAGAACCUGAAACCGUGUACGUACAAGCAGUGGGAGCCUCUCUUUAUGGGGGGUGACUGCGUACCUUUUGUAUAAUGGGUCAGCGACUUAUAUUCUGUAGCAAGGUUAACCGAAUAGGGGAGCCGAAGGGAAACCGAGUCUUAACUGGGCGUUAAGUUGCAGGGUAUAGACCCGAA